rnacentral:rRNA from 1 species
CAGUAGCCGCGGUAAUACAGAGGGUGCGAGCGUUAAUCGGAUUUACUGGGCGUAAAGCGUGCGUAGGCGGCUUUUUAAGUCGGAUGUGAAAUCCCUGAGCUUAACUUAGGAAUUGCAUUCGAUACUGGGAAGCUAGAGUAUGGGAGAGGAUGGUAGAGUUCCAGGUGUAGCGGUGAAAUGCGUAGAGAUCUGGAGGAAUACCGAUGGCGAAGGCAGCCAUCUGGCCUAAUACUGACGCUGAGGUACGAAAGCAUGGGGAGCAAACAGGAUUAGAUACCCGUGUAGUCCCUGUCUCUUAUAC